rnacentral:rRNA from 1 species
GAUGAACGCUGACAGAAUGCUUAACACAUGCAAGUCUUUGGCGAAGCUGUGCUUGCACAGCCUAGCCAAGGCGGACGGGUGAGUAACGCGUAAGGAACUUGCCCUGCAGUCAGGGAUAACAGACGGAAACGACUGAUAAGACCUGGUAAAGUCAGGCGGACUCAUGUCCAGCCUGAUGAAAAGAGAUGCUGCAGGAGAGCCUUGCGUCCUAUUAGCUUGUUGGUGGGGUAACGGCCCACCAAGGCGAUGAUAGGUAGCCGGCCUGAGAGGGUGGACGGCCACAAGGGGACUGAGAUACGGCCCUUACUCCUACGGGAGGCAGCAGUGGGGAAUAUUGGACAAUGGGGGCAACCCUGAUCCAGCAAUUCUGUGUGCACGAUGAAGGUUUUCGGAUUGUAAAGUGCUUUCAGCAGGGAAGAAAAAAAUGACGGUACCUGCAGAAGAAGCGACGGCUAAACACGUG